CAUGACCCCAGAUCAGACGGGACCACCCGCU
rnacentral:rRNA from 1 species